CGCUGCGGGGUCCUCCUCGGAGCGAGGCUGGGGAGCUGUGCUAAUCCUGCCCGGGCGGCCCCUUCGCCCGGCGCUCGGAGCCUCAGAUCUCCACAGAGGAGGCGGCGAGCGAGCGCGCCCCGACCGUCUGCACGCUUUCUCUUUCUCCCCAGGGAGAGCGCGCGGACGACGCGCCCCGGACGCGCGGCAGCACCGGGAAGCCCAGGCCAAGCGAUUUCGGGAGAUUGCCACAAUUUGGACUCACAAGCAAGAUUCACUCCAAGCUUUCAGAGGGCAUGAGGUACCUUUCAGAUGGUUGCUGGCUGCUCAGAAAACUGCUGUAGGGAAACUGCAAGUAGUACCAGGAGGUCAUGUGUCAUUAGUGUGGAUGCUGCUGUCUUACGUCUGUGGUCAUGGCACCAGAAUACAGGGGAGCAUGGGAUUAUGGCAACCACAGAGCCCCAGUGAUGCAAGUUCUAUUCAGUCUUUUCUGAAGGAAGCCUGCUGUUAGAGCACAGGAACUGUUGUGGAUUACAAUGUUUGAAAGAUACGGGUUCUCAGUGGUCUGAAAACACGGCAUCAUUUAACCUUUUAAAUGACAAGGCUUA
rnacentral:lncRNA from 1 species